UACGUAGGGGGCAAGCGUUGUCCGGAUUUAUUGGGCGUAAAGAGCGUGUAGGCGGCCAGAUAGGUCCGUUGUGAAAACUGGAGGCUUAACCUCCAGCGGUCGAUGGAAACCAUUUGGCUAGAGUCCGGAAGAGGAGAGUGGAAUUCCUGGUGUAGCGGUGAAAUGCGUAGAUAUCAAGAGGAACACCUGAGGUGAAGACGGGUUGCUGGGCUGAUACUGACGCUGAGGCGCGAAAGCUAGGGUAGCAAACGGG
rnacentral:rRNA from 1 species